rnacentral:rRNA from 1 species
UCUUGACCAAAUUACGUGGCCAGCAGUCGCGGCAACACGCANAAGACAAGUGUUAUUCAUCUUUAAUCGGUUUAAAGGGUACCUAGACGGAAAAUCAAGCUAUAGUAGGGACUAAUUUUCUAGAGUUUAAUGAAAGAAAGUCGAAUAUCUGGAGUAAAGAAACAAUAUUUCGAUACCAGAGAGACGGGUAACGGCGUAGGCAACUUUCUAUGUAAAAACUGACGUUGAGGGACGAAGCCCUGGGUAGCGAUAAGGAUUAGAUACCCUAGUAGUCCAGGGAGACAAUGAUGAGUGCCAUAAGCUAGAUAUAUUAGUUUAUAAAUGAAAGUGUAAGCAUUCCACCUCAUGAAUAAGGCGGCAACGCAUAAAUUGAAAUCAUUAGACCGUUUCUGAAACCAGUAGUGAAGUAUGUUAUUUAAUUCGAUGAUCCGCGAAUAACCUUACCACGUUUUGUAUACUAUUUAAUUAUUACAAGUGCUGCACGGCUGUCUUUAGUUAAUGUCGUGAGACUUUGGUUAAUUCCUUUAAUUAACGCAAACGCCUGUUUUAUUUAUAUAUA